rnacentral:rRNA from 1 species
CAUGCCGCGUGUGUGAAGAAGGCCUUCGGGUUGUAAAGCACUUUCAGCGGGGAGGAAGGGGAUGGGAUUAAUAAUUUCAUUCAUUGACGUUACCCGCAGAAGAAGCMCCGGCUAACUCCGUGCCAGCAGCCGCGGUAAUACGGAGGGUGCGAGCGUUAAUYGGAAUUACUGGGCGUAAAGCGUACGCAGGCGGUCUGUUAAGUCAGAUGUGAAAUCCCCGGGCUUAACCCGGGAACUGCAUUUGAAACUGGCAGGCUAGAGUCUCGUARAGGGGGGUAGAAUUCCAGGUGUAGCGGUGAAAUGCGUAGAGAUYUGGAGGAAUACCGGUGGCGAAGGCGGCCCCCUGGACSAAGACUGACGCUCAGGUACGAAAGCGUGGGGAGCAAACAGGAUUAGAUACCCUGGUAGUCCAC